rnacentral:rRNA from 1 species
AUUGAACGCUGGCGGCGUGCCUAACACAUGCAAGUCGAGCGGUAACAGGUGUAGCAAUACAUGCUGACGAGCGGCGAACGGGUGAGUAAUGCUUUGGAAUCUUCCCAGUAGUGGGGAAUAACCAGUCGAAAGAUUGGCUAAUACCGCAUACGUCUGUAAAGGGAAAGCGGGGGACUCGCCUCUUCUUCGGAAGAGAGGCCUCGCGCUAUUGGAUGAGCCAAAGCGGAUUAGCUAGUUGGUGGGGUAAUGGCCUACCAAGGCGACAAUCCGUAGCUGGUCUGAGAGGACGACCAGCCACACCGGAACUGAGACACGGUCCGGACUCCUACGGGAGGCAGCAGU